GGUCCCAUAGCUCAGUUGGUUAGAGCGUCGUACUAAUAUUAUAUCGUAAUAACAUUGGUCCAUGCGAAGGCCGUGAGUUCGAGCCUCACUGGGACCA